rnacentral:misc_RNA from 1 species
GAAAAAAAAAAUAAUCUCUUGGGCCUAACAUUCAUAAGAUUAUGUGGGGCUUGAGGAUUUAUGGUUUGCCUCUGCAAGUGGUCCAGCGUUAGGUUAGUAAUAAGUCCAUUACCUAACAAACUACCAAGUGGCCUGAUUCUACAACUCUGACCAACUUCAGUUCAGUUGUUUUUGGUAUGUUCCUUAGCAUUGACUUCAAAUCUAAGUUUAGUUUU